UAAAAUACACAAGAAUAGAGACAGAUUACAAUCUAAUCUGGAAAAAUGUGAACUAGGAUUGUGUAAAUCCUGAAACGAAACGUAGGCUGAAAAUAAUUAGCAUGUCAUAUCAUAGGAAAAGACACUGCAUUCACACAGAUUUGUCCGAAGUGCACAGUUCGGGUUUGACAUCUUAAGCCCAAAUAUAUCAUACUUGAACAAUAACAAAGAUUUAUUGAUUUAAAUGGUUAUGCAACAUCAUGAGUAAGCUCUGGCCAUCGACUUUCAGUUUUAAAAUGUGUAUUUCUACUGGUGUGGUGUUUAAGCAGCCGUAGAUGAGAGACAGGUGCUUUCACAACAAGUAGUUCUGUUGUUGUUCAAACAAUCUUUUAUCUGAUAAAGGAUCAGCAUCCUAUCAAGAUACUAUAGAAUAUACAUGUAAGUGUACAUAGAAGGGGUAGGAGCUGGGAGGAGGGAGGAGGAGUGUGGAGGAGGAAGGAGGAGUGUGGAGGAGGGAGGAGGAGUGUGGAGGAGGAAGGAGGAGAGAGGAGGAGUGUGGAGGAGGGAGGAGGAGUGUGGAGGAGAGAGGAGUGUGGAGGAGGGAGGAGGAGUGUGGAGGAGAGAGGAGUGUGGAGGAGGGAUGAGGAGUGUGGAGGAGAGAGGAGUGUGGAGGAGGAGUGUGGAGGAGAAAGGAGGAGUGUGGAGGAAGGAGGAGGAGUGUGGAGGAGGGAGGAGUGUGGAGGAGGGGGAGGAGUGUGGAGGAGAGAGGAGUGUGGAGGAGGGAGGAGGAGUGUGGAGGAGAAAGGAGGAGUGUGGAGGAGGAGGGAGGAGUGUGGAGGAGGAGGAGUGUGGAGGAGGGAGGAGGAGUGAGGAGGUUGUGAUAAUGAUGGUGAUAUGGAGUCAAGCAGAGAGAACAGUCCAUCUGUUCCUCUAGCUACAGUAUGUACUGACAGAGAGGUGUCCAUCUGUUCCUCUAGCUACAGUAUGUACUGACAGAGAAGUGUCCAUCUGUUUCUCUGGCUACAGUAUGUACUGACAGAGAAGUGUCCAUCUGUUCCUCUAGCUACAGUAUGUACUGACAGAGAAGUGUCCAUCUGUUCCCCUAGCUACAGUAUGUACUGACAGAGAAGUGUCCAUCUGUUUCUCUGGCUACAGUAUGUACUGACAGAGAAGUGUCCAUCUGUUCCUCUAGCUACAGUAUGUACUGACAGAGAAGUGUCCAUCUGUUUCUCUGGCUACAGUAUGUCCUGACAGAGAAGUGUCCAUCUGUUCCUCUAGCUACAGUAUGUACUGACAGAGAAGUGUCCAUCUGUUUCUCUGGCUACAGUAUGUACUGACAGAGAAGUGUCCAUCUGUUCCUCUAGCUACAGUAUGUACUGACAGAGAAGUGUCCAUCUGUUCCUCUAGCUACAGUAUGUACUGACAGAGAGGUGUCCAUCUGUUCCCCUAGCUACAGUAUGUACUGGCAGAGAAGUGUCCAUCUGUUCCUCUAGCUACAGUAUGUACUGACAGAGAAGUGUCCAUCUGUUCCUCUAGCUACAGUAUGUACUGGCAGAGAAGUGUCCAUCUGUUUAUCUGGCUACAGUAUGUACUGGCAGAGAAGUGUCCAUCUGUUUCUCUGGCUACAGUAUGUACUGACAGAGAGGUGUCCAUCUGUUCCCCUAGCUACAGUAUGUACUGGCAGAGAAGUGUCCAUCUGUUUCUCUGGCUACAGUAUGUACUGGCAGAGAAGUGUCCAUCUGUUCCCCUAGCUACAGUAUGUACUGGCAGAGAAGUGUCCAUCUGUUUCUCUGGCUACAGUAUGUACUGGCAGAGAAGUGUCCAUCUGUUCCUCUAGCUACAGUAUGUACUGACAGAGAAGUGUCCAUCUGUUCCUCUAGCUACAGUAUGUACUGACAGAGAAGUGUCCAUCUGUUCCUCUAGCUACAGUAUGUACUGACAGAGAAGUGUCCAUCUGUUUCUCUGGCUACAGUAUGUACUGACAGAGAGGUGUCCAUCUGUUCCUCUAGCUAACAGUAUGUACUGGCAGAGAAGUGUCCAUCUGUUCCUCUAGCUACAGUAUGUACUGGCAGAGAGGUGUC